rnacentral:lncRNA from 1 species
NNNNNNNNNNNNNNNNNNNNNNNNNNNNNNNNNNNNNNNNNNNNNNAGAGAGAGAGAGCGAGGGAGAGAGAGAAAGUGAUUGAGGGGGGAGAAAGAGAGAGAGAUAGAGAUGGGGGGAAUGGGAUGUGACAGAAAGGCGCUCAUUAGUAUUCCGAAGUGGAUAAUAAUCCCCCUUUAGCUGAACUCAAACACACUGUCUCUUCAUCCCUUUACAAUCAGCUCCCUCUCUCCUCCCCUCUCUCUCUCUUCCUCUCUCUCUUUCUCUUUUCCCUCUCUCCGCUCCCCUCACUCUCUCUGCUCUUGCCUUUUCAUCUCUCUCUCUCCACUUUCUUUUUAUCCAUCUGUACACAGCCUUUUCUCUCUCUCUCUCUUUCUCAUCUUUCUUCAAUUUCUCCUUCUUUCUCUUUCUCCAUUCCUUUCCUCCGUUUCUCUAUAUUCUCCACUUUCACUCUCUACUCUUUUUCUCCCUCUCACUUUCUCUAAUUUCUCCUUUUGCUCAUCCAUCUUUCUCCACUUUCUCUCUCUUUCUCUCUUUCCACUCUUCCACUCCCCUCUGCCGCCUUCUUUCUCCAGUCCUUUUCUCCCUACAUCCCUCUCUACUUUCUCUUUUUUUCUCUCUCUACAAUCUUUGUCUUGUCUUUUCUCUUUCCAGUCUUUCUCCAAUUCCUUUUUCUCUUUUUGUCUCAUUUCAUCUCUCUCCACUUUCUCCUUCUUUCUCUCUCUCCACUUCUCCACCCCCUUUCACUAUCCUUCUUUCUCCAGUCUUUUUUCUCUAUCCAUCCCUCUCCACUUUCUCUAUUUUCCUCUCUCCACUCUUCCAACCACCUUUCUAUGUCUAUCUAUGUUUCCCUUUAUUAUUCAGUCUUUUUCUCCACCCAUCCCUCUCCACUUUCCCCUUUUUUUCUUUCUACACUAUUUAUCUUGUCUUUUCUCUUUCCCUUUCCCAUCUUUCUCAAAUUUCUCACCCUUUCUCUUCCUCCAUUCUUUUUCUCCCUCUCUCAACUUUCUCCACUUUCUUUCUCUCACUUUCUCUACAAUUUAUAUAUUUUUC